UACGGGGGGGGCAAGCGUUGUUCGGAAUUACUGGGCGUAAAGCGCGCGUAGGCGGCUUUUCAAGUCAGACGUGAAAUCCUUAGGCUUAACCUGAGAACUGCGUUUGAUACUGUUGAGCUAGAGUGUGGAAGGGGCUACUAGAAUUCCGUGUGUAGCGGUGAAAUGCGUAGAUAUCUGGAGGAACACCGGUGGCGAAGGCGGCAUCCUGGACCAACACUGACACUGAGGAGCGAAAGCCAGGGGAGCAAACGGG
rnacentral:rRNA from 1 species